GUGGAGGUACGACGGGAUUUGCAUUGAACAGGGUUAUACGUGCGAUUUUACUCUUCCUUCUCUUAUAUAUCUUAUUUAUAUUUUGAACCGGAGUUCAUAAAAUAGGUUUAAAAUAGUCUGAAGAUAACAGUAAUGCAGUUAUACUGUUAUAGUAAGCAGAUGGCCACCGUUUACUGUUGUUUUUUUUAUAUCAUAGUGGAUUGUCAUUUUAUAUACGAUUUAUUUAAGUCAUAAAUGCGAUAAAAACGGGUCAUUAUCAAUUUCAGCCGCAGAUAUGUCGCUCAGAAAAGAAGUAUUUCAGUCCAAGGUCCUGCAAAGACUGUAUCCUGCAGCCCUGGGUCAGAGUACACUGCAACCUAAAGCCAAGGAAGGGAUCACACUGCCACCUGCAGAAAGCCUUGAGUCCAUCCUACACAAAGAGUCAGGUGAUAAGAAGAGUUCAGUUGUACAAGGCAAAAAACUCUACACUGUACUUCCUCCUCCUGAAGGCUACCUGAUUACAGGUGGGGAUGAAUCUGUCACACCAUACAAUCCAGAUCCUAUUGACUCUGAGGAUAGCGCAGCCGAUGAUCAUGAGUUGCAUAAGACAAGGAGGAAGAGGAGGAAAAAAAAAAAGCUAUCUACCAUUACUACAAUUACAGAUACAGGAGAAAUAUCAGCCUAUCGAGCAUAUCCCAAUGAUGAAGGUAACACUCUAAGCUCAGUGUGCCCUGAAGACAACGAGCGGAUCAGCAAGAACAGAAAGAGGAAGAUGAAGAAGAAGCGUCACAAAGAGAAGCUCUUCACUCUUGGACUGGUGCCUCGUGCGAGAGCUCUCGAAUUUACUUACAGAGAGGAUGAUGAAGAGGAAGGAGUUGAGGGAAAUUCAGUGGGGGUGCUCAACUUCUUACGUACCACACAGGAGAUCUAUCUCUCUGAUAGCUCCUGUGUAGCAAGUGAUCCCUCUCUCUGCCUCACUGCAGUGGAGUCUCUGUUCUCUCGUCUCUCGGAGGGCAUGCUGCCCCCUGCUGAGAUCUCUAGGCUAUGCAGACUCUGGGCUCUCCUGAGGAAGGACAAGGAGCAGUUAAUAUUACAGCUGCAAGAGUUCAGAGACACAAGUACAUUGCCUGCUGAUGAGGUUUCAGUGGUCUGCAUUCUUAUUAAGUACUGGCUGAAAGAAAUUCUCCCCAUGCAGAAAGAACCCAGGAUAUGAAGUCUGAGAAUUUGUGACUUGAGAUGAAAAACAACAGUGAAUAACCAGCAGGCAGCAUAACAGACUGCUCAUUAACACCAGCCUUCAAACCAGAGCCACAUUUAUUUAUUUUUGUAAAUUCACUGUUUUGGAAAAACUGGAGGAUAGAAGUGAUUGGCUCUUUCUUUGAAAAAUCCAAUGUAACUAGAUAAUAGUCUUGUUGCUGCUGUAAAAUAUGUAUAUAUUCAAGUUUUAAGUCACAUUUUCUGAGAUAAAACGAAUGUCAUUUUUUUCAAAGAUUGUUGAUACUAGUGUGUGAGCGUGCACCGACUGAGAUCUUUUGAAACGGAUCCAACAGCUUAUCCUAUGACAUCAUGGAAUGAGUUUAACUCUUAAGUGUCUGUAGACUGCCUUGUGUUUGCACUAUUCUGAUAUCCACAAGGCAACCCACAACAUGACAAUGGGUGCCUUUAUAGGAACACUUGAUUCUGGGUUGGCGCAAAGGAGGAGUUUUUAUUGCAUUUGAAUAUCUUAAUAGUGUUCAGAAAUAAUAACCCUGCUUUUUCUCUCAGAAAUGUUUCCUUUAUGCCAGCUAGUAGGUGAGGCAGAGGGCACAGCAGGUGUAAUGAUGGAAUUAUAACAGCUGAAAACAAGAUAAUCAGAGGCUGCUAAUUGUCUGUUUUUGUCACUUAAACCAAAAAUACUUUAGCUUUUAUAUUGGCCUGUAUUAUUUAAUAAUUUCUAUAUCUCAAUGGAAUAUCCACUCAAAAGAUCAAAGACUGUUUUAGAGUCAGAUUAAUUAAAUAACCGCUGUGUUUUAUAUAUACAGUUGCAUUUUGACCUCUUCAUAAGUACCAUGGUGUUACUGUGUUUUUUGGACAAUUAAUAGUGGUAAAUUAAUAUGUUGAUUAUUUAGUUCCAUUGUGUUAUCUAGACCAUUACUGUACUAUCAUGGUACCACCACAGUACUUUUUUAAUUGCCAUCUUAUGAGCAUUUUGAAUUUGACAAUCGCGCUGCCUCUGACCCAUCGCAAUACAUUUUUGAGCCAUUUCCCUUUACACAUGCCAAGUUGUCUAGCAUCACUUCACAUCAACUUAGCCCCACAGCCAUCACUGUAACUGGCCGCAAUCUUCAUAGCUACCAUGUCCAAGUAUAUGCUAGCCUUUUUCAGUAAUCUGAUUAAGAGAGACAGACACUCCUGCUGGGACAGUCUAUAUAGGUUUUAACCACAGGAGGACUGUGGAAGACACACACUCUUACCUGGCUGAGCUCUAUCUUCUGCGGGGCCUCUUUCUGUCAGAAAGAAGGGUAACGAGGUAGAGGACCAGAGGAAGAGUUAAUCCUGCACAUAAACGAAACAGCUUUCAGGCCAAGGGAUUUCUGAAGAGAUACAAAAUGAUUUUUGGUCUCCCACGCCCAACUUCAAGAUACAUCCGCUACCUGCAGACUUAAGCCAUGCAGUGUUUGACCCACAGAGAUCAUGAUCUCAUGGUACCAAGUUUGGCUGUUCUUCCGGGUGCACUAGGGAUUGCAAUGUCAGGGUACAGUUCUCGCCAGCUCACUCUUUAUCAUCGGCGCUCCACACGAUUCCUGUUGUGGUUGUUAAGGCCUUCUGUUUCUGGUGAGAGUCUGGAAACCAAGCAAGUGUGAACCACUCUGGAUUCAGCUAGUGCUGCUGUGGGAUCCAUCAUAAAGGACAUACUGGUCUAGUCAAACAUAUGGCUGACAUACAGCAGCCUGUAUGGACCGCAGAUAAAAGAAAUGGCAUUGUGUGGCCAUACAAAUAUCUCUCUCCAAUCACUGCUCCAAAACUGCUUGAAAAUGCCCUUUCAUGUAUGGUUUGAGCAAACACAUGCCAUAGUGGAAUACACAAAAAUAUUCAGCCAUAACGAGGACCUGUGAGGUCUUACUAUGUAAGGUUUUGUUCGAGUUGAAAAUAUAGCCAUAUGGAGUUAUUUGAACAUCUAAAAUUAUUGAUAUGGUACCCAAAGUAAUGUGUCAGAAAUUAUUUAGAAAGUGCCUUUGUAAAGGAAAGCCUGAUAAUAGCUGGCUGACCAAGCAACUGGUUUGACCUGAUUCGUUUUUGUUUAUUAAUGUGGCCUGCUGGAGUUUAAUAAAUGCUUUAGCAGAUCUGUGUAAAUGACAAACAGUUAAUUUUCUUGUGAGUCAUACAUUGUGUUAAUAUUGUACAUGUCUUAAUCUGUGUAAAUAUAGGCUUAUUGGUUUUAUGAUGUCAUUCUUGGGCACUGUCACUGGAAGAGUGACUUAUUGUGAAUUCCACUUUAUUAAAAUUGAGUCAAGCUCACAUGCCAUGCAUUUAAAAAAUAUAUAUAUACUUAUUUUUAUAUAUACAUUUAUGUUAUGUUGCUAUAUAGACUAUUUAACAUUUUAAUUUAAUUUCUCAGAAUGGGGCAAUCAUAUUUAGUGGUCCUUUGCAUCAAAGAGUUUGAAAACCCCUGGUUUAAACUAAAAGACAUUAAAAUGUGUUCUGAGUGAACCUGAUUGGCUUUCUUCAUCUGUACAGAGAAUAUAGUAAA